rnacentral:rRNA from 1 species
CACGCCAUAUAGGGAAUCUUCCCGCAAUGGGCGAAAGCCUGACGAGGCACCGCGCUGAAGUAGGAGUCUUCCGAUCCGUAAACUCUUUUUUUAGGGAAGAACAAAUUGUGUAAGUAACUAUGCCCGUUCUGACGGUACCUAAUCAGAAAAGCACGGCUAACUACGUGCCAGCAGCCGCGGUAAUACGUAGGUGGCAAGCGUUAUCCGGAAAUUAUUGGGCGUAAAGCGCGCGUAGGCGGUUUUUUUAAGUCCUGAUGUGAAAGCCCACCGGCUCAACCCGUGGAGGGUCAUUGGAAACUGGAAAACUUGAGUGCAGAAGAGGAAAGUGGAAUUCCAUGUGUAGCGGUGAAAUGCGCAGAGAUAUGGAGGAACACCAGUGGCGAAGGCGACUUUCUGGUCUGUAACUGACGCUGAUGUGCGAAAGCGUGGGGAUCAAACAGGAUUAGAUACCCUGGUAGUCCACGCCGUAAACGAUGAGUGCUAAGUGUUAGGGGGUUUCCGCCCCUUAGUGCUGCAGCUAACGCAUUAAGCACUCCGCCUGGGGAGUACGACCGCAAGGUUGAAACUCAAAGGAAUUGACGGGGACCCGCACAAGCGGUGGAGCAUGUGGUUUAAUUCGAAGCAACGCGAAGAACCUUACCAAAUCUUGACAUCCUCUGACCCCUCUAGAGAUAGAGUUUUCCCCUUCGGGGGACAGAGUGACAGGUGGUGCAUGGUUGUCGUCAGCUCGUGUCGUGAGAUGUUGGGUUAAGUCCCGCAACGAGCGCAACCCUUAAGCUUAGUUGCCAUCAUUAAGUUGGGCACUCUAAGUUGACUGCCGGUGACAAACCGGAGGAAGGUGGGGAUGACGUCAAAUCAUCAUGCCCCUUAUGAUUUGGGCUACACACGUGCUACAAUGGACAAUACAAAGGGUAGCGAAACCGCGAGGUCAAGCAAAUCCCAUAAAGUUGUUCUCAGUUCGGAUUGUAGUCUGCAACUCGACUACAUGAAGCUGGAAUCGCUAGUAAUCGUAGAUCAGCAUGCUACGGUGAAUACGUUCCCGGGUCUUGUACACACCGCCCGUCACACCACGAGAGUUUGUAACACCCGAAGCCGGUGGAGUAACCUUUUGGAGCUAGCCGUCGAAGG